AGUGAACGCUGGCGGUAGGCCUAACACAUGCAAGUCGAACGGCAGCACAGUAAGAGCUUGCUCUUACGGGUGGCGAGUGGCGGACGGGUGAGGAAUAAAUCGGAAUCUACUUUUUAGUGGGGGAUAACGUAGGGAAACUUACGCUAAUACCGCAUACGACCUACGGGUGAAAGCAGGGGAUCUUCGGACCUUGCGCGAUUGAAUGAGCCGAUGUCGGAUUAGCUAGUUGGCGGGGUAAAGGCCCACCAAGGCGACGAUCCGUAGCUGGUCUGAGAGGAUGAUCAGCCACACUGGAACUGAGACACGGUCCAGACUCCUACGGGAGGCAGCAGUGGGGAAUAUUGGACAAUGGGCGCAAGCCUGAUCCAGCCAUACCGCGUGGGUGAAGAAGGCCUUCGGGUUGUAAAGCCCUUUUGUUGGGAAAGAAAAGCAGCAGGUUAAUACCCCGCUGUUCUGACGGUACCCAAAGAAUAAGCACCGGCUAACUUCGUG
rnacentral:rRNA from 1 species